GGACACUCAGGACCACAGAGAAACAAACACAAACACAACUUGUGUCUCCGCACUAACUUUUCUUCCUGGAGAAUGAAGAGGAAGUGAGUUCCGCCCUGUACUGCACAUCCCAGCAUGCACCGCGGCACAGGGAGAACAGCGCUUUCUUCCACACAGUCCUGCUUCCUGCUUGGCUCAUGGAGAACUGGCAAAAGGAGGAACUAAUAUCAGGAACCAGUCAUUUUGGCACCCUGUGGCUUGCUUGGUGGAGGACUAUGGGAGCGUGAUGUUAUAGAUGACCUGAUGUCCGUUGUUCCAGGCAUACAGCACCUUUUCUCUGGGGUUGUAGUCCAUCAUGGAGAUGUGUGAGUACUGGUUGUGGAAGGGGAUGUGUGUGUACUCAUACAUCUGGCUGUC